GACGAACGCUGGCGGCGCGCUUAACACAUGCAAGUCGAGCGAUGAAACUUUAACAGAACCCUUCGGGGCGCAGAUAAAGUGGAUUAGCGGCGGACGGGUGAGUAACACGUGAGUAACCUGCCUUAGAUAUUGGGAUAGCCUCGUGAAACCGGGAUUAAUACCAAAUAAAAUCAUAAUGACACAUGUCAUAACGAUCAAAACUCCGGUGGUCUAAGAUGGACUCGCGUCCCAUUAGCUAGUUGGUAGAGUAAAAGCCUACCAAGGCGACGAUGGGUAGCCGGCCUGAGAGGGUGAACGGCCACAUUGGAACUGAGAAACGGUCCAAACUCCUACGGGAAGCAGCAGUGGGGAAUAUUGCACAAUGGAGGGAACUCUGAUGCAGCGACGCCGCGUGAACGAAGAAGGCUUUCGAGUAGUAAAGUUCUUUUAUAUGGGAAGAUAAUGACGGUACCAUAAGAAAAAGCCCCGGCUAACUACGUG
rnacentral:rRNA from 1 species